UUCGCCGGAGAUGGCAAGUAAACUAGUGGUCCUGUGCGCUAUACUACACAACAUCGCGGUAAGGAGUAGCGUAGAGCUUCCUCAGACAGAGGAAUUGCCUGAUGAGGAGCCAGGGGUUGUCCGACACUUCGGUGGGGGGAGUGUUACACGGAGGGGGAGCCAAGUCAGGGCAAGCAUUGUUGCGGAAUAUUUCAGGUAUAGUGUUUUAAGUUUCUCUUUUUUAAUCAAAAUAAAACCACAGUAUGCUUUUGUAUUUUGAUUAAUUUUGUCAUUUUGUUUGCUAUUGUAAGGCCAUUGGGUAAUUAUUUUUUGGCUUUGGAAUAUGUAAUAUUUAUUUGCCACUAAAUCCGUUAACACGUUAAGCUUACAAUGUGUUAUUUGCAAAAACAAUACUGUGAUGUUGCUAAAUAGUGUCCUUAUUUGUUUUCUAUCCUAAAAUCCUGUUUAUUUCAACAAACACACAAACAAAUGAAACUUAAUGUUGUCCACUUUGUGACUGUCCAGCUGAAUGAUCACACAAACUGUGGACGACCACAACGGCAAGCAACACAUAAGGCACCAUCUCAGCCCCCUUCCCCUUCUCACUCCCCCUCCACUUCCCAGUCCCCCUCCCCUUCUCACUCCCCCUCCCCUUCCCAAUCCCCCUCAGCUUCCCAGUCCCCCUCAGCUUCCCAGUCCCCCUCUGCUUCCCAGUCCCCCUCUGCUUCCCAGUCCCCCUCAGCUUCCCAGGCCCACUCCACUUUCCACUCCCCUUCUCACCCCACCUCUCCUUCUCUUUCUGUGACCCCUUCUCCUCCUUUCCAUACCCCUUCUCCUUCAACUUCCAAAUCACCUUCUCAGCCCCCCUCACCCUCUAUUGGCCUAACAUUCUCUCCGCCCCCCUCGCCCUCUCAAUCAGACCCACCCUCUGAAAUAACAUCCCCAAUCCCUCCUCCUUCCCCCAUCCAGCCUCCUUCCCCCAUCCCUCCUCCUUCCCCAAUCCCUCCUCCUUCCCCCAUCCAGCCGCCUUCCCCCAUCCAGCUGGCAUCACCACCCAGCGAAUGGGCAGAAGAAGCCCCAGAUGUGCUAAGUGACAAUGUUGUGGAGGAAAAUUCUGCAGUUGGAGAUCCCAGCACUUUGCCUGAACUUUUAGGGCGGCUGAAAGCCCAUUUAAGGGAAGUGUUAGCAGAUAUCGAGGCAAUAGAAAAAAAU